rnacentral:rRNA from 1 species
GACGUAGGAGGCGAGCGUUGUCCGGAUUCACUGGGCGUAAAGAGCACGCAGGCGGUUUGGCAAGUCGGACGUGAAAAUCCGGGGCUCAACCCCGGACCUGCAUCCGAAACUGCCCGACUAGAGGUAGGUAGGGGAGAUCGGAAUUCCUGGUGUAGCGGUGAAAUGCGCAGAUAUCAGGAGGAACACCGGUGGCGAAGGCGGCAUCCUGGACCGGCAUUGACGCUGAGGCGCGAAAGCCAGGGGAGCAAACGGG